rnacentral:rRNA from 1 species
CGGGACGGGGUGGAGUAAUGUCUGGGAAACUGCCUGAUGGAGGGGGGUAACUACUGGAAACGGUAGCUAAUACCGCAUAACGUCGCAAGACCAAAGAGGGGGACCGUUCGGGCCUCUUGCCAUCGGAUGUGCCCAGAUGGGAUUAGCUAGUAGGUGGGGUAACGGCUCACCUAGGCGACGAUCCCUAGCUGGUCUGAGAGGAUGGCCAGCCACACUGGAACUGAGACACGGUCCAG